GAACUGGUGAGUAACACGUGGGAAAUCUGCCCACAUUCAGGGGAUAACACUUGGAAACAGGUGCUAAUACCGUAUAACAACAAAAUCCGCAUGGAUUUUGUUUGAAAGGUGGCUUCGGCUAUCACUUCUGGAUGAUCCCGCGGCGUAUUAGUUAGUUGGUGAGGUAAAGGCCCACCAAGACGAUGAUACGUAGCCGACCUGAGAGGGUAAUCGGCCACAUUGGGACUGAGACACGGCCCAAACUCCUACGGGAGGCAGCAGUAGGGAAUCUUCCACAAUGGACGAAAGUCUGAUGGAGCAAUGCCGCGUGAGUGAAGAAGGGUUUCGGCUCGUAAAACUCUGUUGUUAAAGAAGAACACCUUUGAGAGUAACUGUUCAAGGGUUGACGGUAUUUAACCAGAAAGCCACGGCUAACUACGUGCCAGCAGCCGCGGUAAUACGUAGGUGGCAAGCGUUGUCCGGAUUUAUUGGGCGUAAAGCGAGCGCAGGCGGUUUUUUAAGUCUGAUGUGAAAGCCUUCGGCUUAACCGGAGAAGUGCAUCGGAAACUGGGAGGCUUGAGUGCAGAAGAGGACAGUGGAACUCCAUGUGUAGCGGUGGAAUGCGUAGAUAUAUGGAAGAACACCAGUGGCGAAGGCGGCUGUCUAGUCUGUAACUGACGCUGAGGCUCGAAAGCAUGGGUAGCGAACAGGAUUAGAUACCCUGGUAGUCCAUGCCGUAAACGAUGAGUGCUAAGUGUUGGAGGGUUUCCGCCCUUCAGUGCUGCAGCUAACGCAUUA
rnacentral:rRNA from 1 species